CCUACGGGAGGCAGCAGUGGGGAAUAUUGCACAAUGGGGGAAACCCUGAUGCAGCGACGCCGCGUGAGUGAAGAAGUAUUUCGGUACGUAAAGCUCUAUCAGCAGGGAAGAAAAUGACGGUACCUGACUAAGAAGCCCCGGCUAACUACGUGCCAACAGCCGCGGUAAUACGUAGGGGGCAAGCGUUAUCCGGAUUUACUGGGUGUAAAGGGAGCGUAGGCGGCAGCGCAAGUCUGGAGUGAAAUCCCAUGGCUUAACCAUGGAACUGCUUUGGAAACUGUGCAGCUAGAGUGCAGGAGAGGUAAGCGGAAGGCCUGGUGUAGCGGUGAAAUGCGUAGAUAUUAGGAGGAACACCAGUGGCGAAGGCGGCUUACUGGACUGUAACUGACGUUGAGGCUCGAAAGCGUGGGGAGCAAACAGGAUUAGAUACCCCAGUAGUC
rnacentral:rRNA from 1 species